rnacentral:lncRNA from 1 species
GGCGAGGACCUCAGAGGGCAGGAACCCAGCCCCUUAGGCUCACAAAUCCACAUGUGUCUUACAGGGCCAGUUUCCUCCACCCCAUAUGGGUUUCAGCCAGGACGGGUGCGAGAAGCUCCAGUAACAAUCACCUUACGUGAGGGGAAUGCUCCAGUUUCCUCCUCCAGACACCUGGAGGAGUUUUUGGUGGGGUAGGAGCCACUAUACCAGAUGUGCACAGAUCAGGACCAGUAGAGAAACAUCAGUCUCACCCCUCGGAUGGGCAUUUUCUUUUCCAUGUCUUCACGGGAGGCUCAGAGAGCUAAGAUGUAUCAGAUGUCUGACAUCGCCACGGUCAGCAUCUCCUUUGCCUCGGGCGGCUCGGACGUCUGCGGCUCCGUCCUCAUCACCUCCCUCGGCUCCGAUGUCUCCCUCGUCUCCGGCUCCCCCAGCUCCAUCAGGUCUGUGUCCCAUCAGUUUAAGGCAGACAAGAAUCUCACAGCACCAACCCCUUUCAGUGCACAGCUCGGGGUAGGAUGACUUGAGGGAGAAUCUGACUGGGUAUUACUUUCUAAACAGUGUGGCUGUGCGACACAUCAUCCUGGCCUUGAGGACCAUCCCCUUGCAGUGUGGGUACAAUCAAUUCUCAGAUUUGCCCCACCAUUGAGCAAAGGGUCACGUUGACCCCACAAAGGAAAGUGUAUAUAUGUGUCUGAUGGGGUUAGCUUUUGGGAUGGCAUAGUGAAGCAGGGGUUGCCAGUCUUGGUACAGAAGCUGAUUCUGGCAACUGAGGUUCUGUGCGGAGAACUGGCUCUGGAUGUGACUGUGGGACUGAGAAGACUCAGGGCCCUUAAUUCCAUAGGAUGGGUCAUCUCUUCCUAUGUCACCAGUUUUGUACUCAGAUUCACAUCCCCUGCACAUCCUCAGAAUUUGGAAGAGGGACCCCUCUGCCUCUGACAAUGAUGGCUUCUGGAGAUCUAGUGUCAGGGGCACGACAGGGUAGCAUCAGUUAUCCACUCCACUGAUGCCUGAGAAGCAGAACCUUGAGGGACUCCUGUCUGAGUCCAAGGCAACAGGGGUGUGGAUUGGGAGAAGAGCAGCGAAACUUGGUACUAAAAGGUGACUUGUGCAGUUGUGCCGGACUUCCAGUUCCUGGGGAAGCAGCCCCUCCUGGAGUAACAGAGCUGGGG